rnacentral:rRNA from 1 species
UGGGGAAUUUUCCGCAAUGGGCGCAAGCCUGAAGCAGCGACGCCGCGUGUGGGAAGAAGGUCUUCGGAUUGUAAACCACUUUCAGGAGGGAAGAAGCGCAAGUGACGGUACCUCCAAAAGAAGGCCCGCCCAACUACGUGCCAGCAGCCGCGGUAAUACGUAGGGGCCUAGCGUUGUCCGGAAUUAUUGGGCGUAAAGAGCUCGUAGGCGGCCCACCAAGUCGGAUGUGAAAUCUCAAGGCUCAACCUUGAAAUUGCAUCCGAUACUGAUGGGCUUGAGGCAGGUAGGGGAAGGUGGAAUUCCUGGUGUAGCGGUGAAAUGCGCAGAUAUCAGGAGGAACACCGGUGGCGAAGGCGGCCUUCUGGGCCUGUACUGACGCUGAGGAGCGAAAGCGUGGGGAGCAAACAGGAUUAGAUACCCGCGUAGUCC